GGGCUGGGCUCAGUGGUAGAAUGCAUACCUAGCAUGCAUGAGGCACUGGGUUCAAUACUCAGCAUCACA
rnacentral:tRNA from 1 species